rnacentral:rRNA from 1 species
ACGAACGCUGGCGGCGUGCUUAACACAUGCAAGUCACGGGGGCUUGGGGGCGACUCUGAGCAACCGGCGAACGGGUGCGUAACACGUGAGCAACCUGCCGAUCUGUGGGGGAUAGCCGGGCUAACGCCCGGGUAAUACCGCAUGCGGUUCCUGCGAGGCGUCUUGCGGGAAAGAAACCUCUGGGGCAGAUCGAGGGGCUCGCGGCCUAUCAGCUGGGUUGGGGGGUAAUGGCCCACCAAGGCGACGACGGGUAGCUGGUCUGAGAGGAUGGCCAGCCACAUUGGGACUGAGAGACGGCCCAGACUCCUACGGGAGGCAGCAGUGGGGAAUCUUGCGCAAUGGCCGCAAGGCUGACGCAGCGACGCCGCGUGUGGGAGGACGCC